GGAGAGAUCGCACAGUUGGUCUAGUGCGCACGCUUGGAAAGCGUGUAGGGUCGCAAGGCUCUCGAGGGUUCGAAUCCCUCUCUCUCCGCCA
rnacentral:tRNA from 1 species